rnacentral:rRNA from 1 species
AUGAACGCUGGCGGCGUGCCUAAUACAUGCAAGUCGCGCGCACAGACGAGGAGCUUGCUCCUCUGACGUUAGCGGCGGACGGGUGAGUAACACGUGGAUAACCUACCUAUAAGACUGGGAUAACUUCGGGAAACCGGAGCUAAUACCGGAUAAUAUAUUGAACCGCAUGGUUCAAUAGUGAAAGACGGUUUUGCUGUCACUUAUAGAUGGAUCCGCGCCGCAUUAGCUAGUUGGUAAGGUAACGGCUUACCAAGGCAACGAUGCGUAGCCGACCUGAGAGGGUGAUCGGCCACACUGGAACUGAGACACGGUCCAGACUCCUACGGGAGGCAGCAGUAGGGAAUCUUCCGCAAUGGGCGUAAGCUUGACGGAGCAACGCCGCGUGAGUGAUGAAGGUCUUCGGAUCGUAAAACUCUGUUAUUAGGGAAGAACAAAUGUGUAAGUAACUAUGCACGUCUUGACGGUACCUAAUCAGAAAGCCACGGCUAACUACGUG